rnacentral:rRNA from 1 species
UGGGGAAUAUUGCACAAUGGGCGCAAGCCUGAUGCAGCCAUGCCGCGUGUAUGAAGAAGGCCUUCGGGUUGUAAAGUACUUUCAGCGGGGAGGAAGGGAGUAAAGUUAAUACCUUUGCUCAUUGACGUUACCCGCAGAAGAAGCACCGGCUAACUCCGUGCCAGCAGCCGCGGUAAUACGGAGGGUGCAAUCGUUAAUCGGAAUUACUGGGCGUAAAGCGCACGCAGGCGGUUUGUUAAGUCAGAUGUGAAAUCCCCGGGCUCAACCUGGGAACUGCAGCUGAUACUGGCAAGCUUGAGUCUCGUAGAGGGGGGUAGAAUUCCGGGUGUAGCGGUGAAAUGCGUAGAGAUCUGGAGGAAUACCGGUGGCGAAGGCGGCCCCCUGGACGAAGACUGACGCUCAGGUGCGAAAGCGUGGGGAGCAAACAGG